AGGACUCCGAGCGCAGUAGUAAAACCCUCGCUUUGGACUGUACUGGCGCGGCCCUGCCGUAAAACCCCCAACUUCUGAAAAUUUGACCUCGGAUCAGGUAGGAAUACCCGCUGAACUUAAGCAUAUCAUAAGGG
rnacentral:rRNA from 1 species